rnacentral:rRNA from 1 species
GAUGAACGCUGGCGGUAUGCUUUACACAUGCAAGUCGUACGAGAGUUUUGAACUCAAGUGGCGGACGGGUGAGUAACACGUAAGAAUUUGCCUUUAGGAGGGGGACAACAACUGGAAACGGUUGCUAAUACCCCAUAUGCUUUCGAGUGAAACGGUUUUUCCGCCUAAAGAGAAGCUUGCGGCUGAUUAGCUUGUUGGUAAGGUAAUGGCUUACCAAGGCGACGAUCAGUAUCUGGUUUGAGAGGACGAUCAGACACACUGGAACUGAGACACGGUCCAGACUCCUACGGGAGGCAGCAGUGGGGAAUUUUCCGCAAUGGGCGAAAGCCUGACGGAGCAAUACCGCGUGAGGGA